rnacentral:lncRNA from 1 species
NNNNNNNNNNNNNNNNNNNNNNNNNNNNNNNNNNNNNNNNNNNNNNNNNNNCCAAUUCCUUUUCCCUGUCCCUCAUCCCCUGUCCCCUGUCCCUGCGCUGCUCACGUCUCCAUUCCUCAUCCCUUGUCCCUUGUCCCCUGCCCCUGUGACACCCACAUCCCGUCCCUCAUCCCUCAUCCCCUGUCCCUUGUCCCUGUGUCACUCACAUUCCCAUCCCCUGUCCCUCAUCCCUUGUCCCCUGCCCCUGCGCCAUCCUCAUCCCUCGUCCCCUGUCCCUCAUCCCUUGUCCCCAUCCUCUGUCCCCUGCCCCCUGUCUUCUGUCCCUUGUCCCUGCACCACCCAUUCCCCAUCCCUUGUCCCCUGUCUCCUGUCCCUGUGCUACCCAUGUCCCCUGUCCCUUGUCCCUCAUCCCUUGUCCCCGUCCCUUAUUCCUUGUCCCCCAUCCCUUGUCACCUGCCCCCGGUCCUCUGUCCCUUGUCCCUGCACUAUGUCCCUUGUCCCCUGCCCAUCUCCUGUCUCAGUGCUACCCGUAUCCUCUGUCCUCAUCCCUUGUCCCCUGUCCUCUGCCCCCUGUUCCCUUUCUCUUGCCCCUUGUCCCCUGCCCCUGCGCUACCCUACCCCCCGCCUCUUGUCCCCCAUCCCCUGUCCCCGUUCCCUCUCCCUUGUCCAAGCACUACCGCGUCCCCUGGCCCCUGUCCUUUGCCCCUGUGCUUGCCCUUGUCCCCUGUCCCCUGUCCCUUGUCCCCUGUCCCUUGUCCCCAGCCCCUGCGCUGUCCUUGGUCCCAGUCCUGCCUCUGCUCCUGUCCCUGCAUCAACCUCUGCAUUGCUCUGUCCCUGGCCCCGUCCCCGUCCCCGUCCCUUUCCCUGUCCCCCCGGCCCCGCUGCGCCCCUCGCUGCCCCUGCCUGGACCCGACCCGGUGGCCACGAUCGUGUCCCUGUCCCUGUCCCUAUCCCCGUCCUUGUCCCCAUCCUGUCCCCAUCCCUGUCCCCGCUCCGGUCCCUACCCCUGUCCACAUCCAUCCCUGUCCCCGUCCCUGCCCGCAUCCCUCCCGGUCCCUGCCCGCGUCUCCGUCCCGGUCCCCGUGUCCCCGUCCCCGUGUCCCCGUCCCCGUGCCCCCCUCCCCGGCCCCGCCGCCUGCCCCGGCCCCUCUCA